rnacentral:tRNA from 1 species
ACCUUUCUAGUAUAAACAGUAUGAAUGACUUCCAAUCAUUUGGCCUUGGUGGAAACCCAAGGAAAGGU